rnacentral:misc_RNA from 1 species
GCUCUCAGGCUUCUCUCUGCUCAUGUCUUCCACAAGAUUCAUGAAAUAUAGCGAAAUAUUCAGCAUGACGGUGAUGACGGUUUUGUCCUGAAUAUCUUCGAUUGUCCUCGAUCAAUUCGAUGACAGGGGGGGUUUAAGGUAUUUUUAAUCAAGAUUGCAAUCAUUCAUUGAUGCAACAAAGUGUAUAAUUAUUCGCGAUUGGGCGCCAGUAAUCGCACUAUCGAAAUUUCAGUUUCGUUUCGGGUAGAUUCUUUUUGUGGAUUAGGGAACUUUUUAUAUAUAUAUUUUUUUCCUUUCACGGUUUCAAAUUGUGCAAAAAUCAGAAGAAUCUCGGUUAUUGUUCUGCGUUGAGCGUUGGAGAAAAAACUUCUUCCACUGUGGAUAUGUUAUCAGUCGCGUGCCGCUCUUUGUCUCAAGGAUCUCUCGUGUAACUAACCUCGCAUCCUUUAAGAUAUGAGUCACAGAGCUAAGAAAAUCUUUAAAUAGAUUAAAGACUCUUUAAACACCAUUAAAAAAAAGGUAUGAGUAAUGCGUCGCGACAAUUGUUAAAACCACCCAGUCUGAAAUCAGAAGUUACUUAUAAUUGCAAUUACUCGGGUAAGUUUGUAUAAUGGCGAGCGAUUUGUCGAGCGGUUGCACGGAGACGAUUGACAUUCUCGACGACGAGAAAGAAGAAGGCGAGAUUUCGUUGGAAGACGUCAGUUCGUCCGAGGAAGGCGGAGUGGGUCACUUGACUAGCAGCUACGUCAUCAGCAGGAGGCGAUCAUGUGCCAGCUGCAAGUCGACGUGGGGCGAGUGCGCGUCUUGGUGUACCGCGGCGUACCGCUCUAAGAGUCAAAGCAAAAGAGAAGUCAAUCUUAUUUUACAAGAUCCACUUAAAGGAAAGGAAAACCGCCGUCGUAUCAAAGAGGCUGGAUGUGCAAUAACGAAACACGUGUCGACGUUACAAGAAAAAAUCGACGACCUAGUGCCAAUCUCGAGUGACAGCGAUAUGGAAAUUGUUGGUCUCACCGAUACGUCCAAUCGAUCAAAGCCCAAAGUAAAAAAGAAAAGGAAAAAGGAUUACGAUGUCCUUACGUCGUCUAUCGACGAUUUAAUUUCUCCAACCUCUGUAGAUUUGCCUAUAAUGGACUCUGCUGCGCUGAAAACGCAUUAUAGGGAAUCAAGUCCGGUUCACAGAAGCGCCAGAUCGAGAGUAAUUUCGAAAUCACCGGUGCGAAGAUACAGAUCUCCCGUGAGAGCUCGAUCGCCCGUUUAUCGAUCCUCUCAUUCUCCAUUGAACUAUUCAAAAUCACCGAUAGUGCGGAGAUCUCCGCGGAGGCUCAGGUCGCCGAAACAGAGUUCACCGUAUCGCUCGUCUGUGAGAACAAUCUCGAGGAAACCACCAAGACCAGACUCACCGCCGUCCACUCGUUUCCACACCGACAGACAUGGUGAAGUAACACGGUUACUGAAGAAGGUGAAACGUUUAGAUUCCGUAGGUGCCCAUGCAUUAGAAUCGAACGUCAGUCGAAGUAAGGAGCAUCAGUCUUCGUCGUUGAAAGAUAAAAUAUUCAACAUGUUGAAGAAAGUACCCGAGAACAAGGAUGACGUAGCGCAUCUCAAGAAGAAAUCAAAAGUUAAAAGCGACGCUGAUGACGAGGAAGAUCUGGCGUUACUCAGGCAGAAGGCAUUGGAGACGAAGCAGAAGAAGCCCAGCAAAUUGGAUUGCCCGGCGGAAUCGGAGAAGAAGCAAGUCGCGAAGGACGAUGACCAGGACGUGGAGGCCCUGCAUUUGCGUAUGAUCGCACUUCGCUCGGCAGUCAUGAAGAAACACCAGGAGAGAGUUCAACGUGGCAUCAGAGCAAUCAAGAGAAGAUCCAUUCGCAGCGAGAGUCCAUUCAGUCAGAGUUUCCUCGAUGAUAUACCUGUACCCGGGGACGAGCUGCUGAAGCUUGCGUCACCCCCGGGCACGCCUCCGGAUACACCAGACUUGGACAGCGAUCAUACAGAGGACAUGGAGCUUGAUACAGAUAUCGAGAGGGAAAAGGAAAAAUUGCCGUAUUCGCCAACCGAUAGAAUCACGUCGGAAAUGCCGGUGGACACGGCGUUGCUCGGCAUCGAGCCGUCCGACGUGUCGUUCAUCAACGUAAAUGAAACGAACAGUCCGGUUUUCGACGACGAAGAAAAGCGGAACGAGCAAAUGUCGCUGUCGACCGGCGUCCCACCGUAUUACAAUAAUACUUACUUGCUUCACAGUUACGAACUUCCGCAGAACUGUGCGUACUCACCGUCGCAGCCUAACAUUUUCCACUCGGACCUGAACAAUGUCCAGAACCAGCUCAGGGAUUAUCAUAGCGACAAUGUCGAGUGCGAUUUGUUGGACGGUAUUUGUUGCCAGAGCGGAAGCUAUUUUAAUACGAAUACCGUGCCGAUGCGGUCCGAGGAGUCCGAUGCGGCGCUUGCUCUUCCAGCGACCAGUGAUACUUUGGCUUCUUGCAAUCUUCCAAAUGACGAUCCUUUACAAGUGAAACAGAGAUCUAACAAUGGCGUUCUGCUUGUGAAUAUGUCCUCGAUACUCGGAGAUAAGUAUUCUUAUGAAAGGCGAAUGAAUUCCGAAUAUUCUGGCAUAGAUACUGCGGGAACGUUUACUGAGCCGGUAUCGCCGAACGGGUCGAUGGUAACGAUCGAUGAUAUUGCCGAGACGGAAGGAGAAUUGAAUUUUGCUGAUGACGAUAGAAACUCGUCUACUGGAAACAUUCCAAAAGAAGUGACGCCGUGUCAAGUGAAAAAUGGAACGACUUUGGAAGCGAACAAGGAGGAGCCUCUGUACAUGCAGGGUGUUCCUGAUGUCACCGACCACUCAAAUAAGAUACCUACGUUGAUCAACAGAACACUGGUUCCUGCGUCGAUCUUAAAAUCGAAUAAGAAGCUUCAGCAACUACGGUUACCGAAGAAGCGCGAGGUGCAUCCGACUUUCAAGAGCGCCGAGAUGCAACCAGUGAUUGUGGAUACGAAUGCCAAGUGCGACAGCACGUUCAAACCUAUAAAAUUGCAAACGCCGAAAAAACCUACGCCUGUGCUAACGGCGCCCACGAUAUUCCACAAUCUUAAUGAAAAUUCGGAGAAUGACACGUUGGAAAAUCGAGAUAACGCUCCAUCAUCGAAAACUGAAACGACUUCCAUUGAUAAUGCAUUGAUAGUGCCGGAUAAUGACGCCGCUUCGACACGUAAAAAGCGGAAACAUAUCAAAAAGAACACGCAAAAGAAGCGCAAGAGUGUCAGCUCUGCACAAUCGCUUGCAGAGAAACGAGCUAACUCGUGUCGAACAAACGAAGGUAUAAAUAUAGAUGUAAAUACUGUGAUCACUUCGAAACAACAAACUACCGAGCAAAACAAGAAUAACGAUGAAAACAGGGCACAAUCGUUUGUCGACAACAGAGAAUCCUCCAACUUGCAAAAUGCUAGGUCCCCAAGUACCCAAGAAUCCUUGUCAGAUAAUUCCAAUAGUGUUACAGUGGAAAACAAAAAUUCAAAUAAGAACGAUCGAAAUAUGUCCUCAGAAAAGGAAGAAAGGACAAAGCAAGCAGUGUUGUCAACACCUACCAAAUGUUUGGAAGAGAUAAACACGAAAUCUUAUCCGCAUACAAAUAUUGUAUCUAAUAAUCUUCUCGACUCUGGUACACUUAAUACUAGCGAAACAGCAAAAGACAACGCUACUAGAAGAGAGAGCAUCGACGAAGACGAGGAUGAGCUGCGAGCUAGCUUGCUAGCUUCGUUGAAACGACCAAAAACAACGGACACGAAUAGUAAUAGUAAUUCAGCCGCAUCAGUUGCUACAGUUCAGACAACUACACAAAAAAUGUUGGCAACUGCACCAGUGACAGCUAACAUAACUUGUACGACGGGCAGUAGUAAUGCUCCGCUAGUGUCAAAAUUAAAUUCAUCUGAAGUUGGUGAGAGAAAUACUGUUGUAACAGCGAUCAGUGAUCACAAGAAAAGAGUCAGUAGCGGGACGACAACGAACCUACCUACGAAGAAGAUGAAAAAAAUACCUAUUCCAGCAAGUACGAAAGUAGUAAACAAUGCUAAAAAGUAUCAGAACAUGAUAGUGCAAAGAAAGUUAAAUUUACGAAAGCUGGACAAUGCGUGCAACAGCGCGAAACCAAGCGAGAACGUAUGGUCUAACGUUAUUAACGCGUCGAAAACGUUGCACGCAUCCGACACUCGGCGAUUUGUGAUAAAUCUGGGCUCGGACACGGACAGCGAGUCCGAGACUGAAAAGUGUCAAUCUGUCGUAUCCGCAGUGGAGAAGCCUCAACCGGAGGUGAGCGUCGACUUCGAGAAGAGCGUACAAAAGUUCCUGCGUGACAUGAGAAAGGAACAAGAGCAAUCCGUGGCCGUGGCCGUGGCCGUGGUCAAGUCCGCCUCGUCAACCCCGCAGGUUCCCGUUUUGUCGCCCCCGGCAAAACGGGACGCGCCACCAACGACACAAACGGAUCCGAAUAAGGGUUCAUCUAAUAUGCACACACCAUUGGCCGUGAGACAUCUUCCCGCGUCGCAGCAAGAAGAAUACCAUCGUUUAAAGCAGCAGAUCUUGGAGCGCGAAAAAUUAAAGUUGCAAAGAAAAAUCGCGGAUAACGGUAGUAGUAGUAAUAAAUUACUGGAUAAAGGGGCAGUGAGUUUGCCGGCGAAAUCUCUGCCACCGGGCGAGAAGAAAAGCAUGAAUGUUAAACAGUCGAGUCAAGUGAAGUCGAGAGAAUUGGAGGGAGAUUCCCAAAAAUUGCCGAGCCAGAUCAAAAAGAAAAAUAUCAAUGUGGCAACGAGUACAUCGGUAUUAAAUGUACCUCGCAUAUCCGCUAGCAAACAUCACUCGGCGAAUGUCGCUAAGCACACCUUGGCCAGUUCCACGCAGGCUAAUCUGCAGAUCAAGGGAAUUAAGAGAACCAUAUCGAACAAUCUCAGUAUUCGAAUUACCAACGAGAUCGCUCCGAAUCACGCGAGUACAGGGAACAGAACGGCUGACAAUUUAAUCGAGAAGCAAUCCACGAACGACAAGCAACAGCACAGACCUGCUCUGAGGGCAUUAUCCAAAGAAGAAAUAAAUCGCAAACACGUUCAAAUACAGGUAAAGUCGGACACAAUCGGACGGGUCGUUACCAUAAACGACAAACCAUCCUUGCAACACGAUACGACGAAUGGCAAUCAAAGUGAGAAGCCAAUCGAUAAUCACGAUGUCAGCGUUGAGAUACUGGAAGAAAGAAGCAAGAACAACGAGAAUAACAACAACAGCACCUCGUUCUCCAACAACUCUACGAUAAUACUUGCAAAUGGGCGCGCGAAUGCGAGCAAGCAAGAGCUUGGAGAUGCUUCGAUGGAAACCACAAUGUCGCGUUCUCAAUACGAAGCGGAAAUGAAUCGUAAUAUUUCGUCAUUACCACCUGCAGAAAAUAGUGAUAGUAACAACGCUUCUCGUUGUAAGUCUGAUGUUGACGAUAAUAAAAGUAAUACGGAUGAUGUUUGGGAUCUACUUAAAAGGAACGUUAAAGUGGAAUUGGAUUCUCUGGUAAAUCUUUCGGAGGCAGAACAACAACGAUAUUUGAGAGAUACCGAACACAAAUUAGUCGCAAAACGGUAUACUGUAUUAGAUCAUUUAGCGGAGAUGUCAGGGAAUCUUCGUCAGUGGGAUAUGGAAAAGGAUCUGCAAAACAGUUUAGCUGCCGAAGUGAAGAAACUCAAGGAACAAUUGAAGAUGGCCGAAGAAAGGUUACAAGUACAACGCAAUCGUGUCAGCGGCAUGGGUCCAAAGGUGUCGGUUGCGCGGCAGAAGAUUAAUGCCGGACGUCGCGAGUGUUUCAGAUUAUCGAAGAUUUGUUCAACCCUAGGUAACCGACUCAUGGGAAAAAGUUACAAGUUGCCGGAGGCGGGGGGUCAACUUUUGAGUGAUAAGCUGAAAGAAGUCGCUAAUCAUACUCGCCAGUUUUCUAAGAAGAAGCGAAUUCAGUCUAGUGAUGCGUCUGAAAGUUCUGGUUCAUCGGAAAAUGCAGAAUUGUCUACAAUCACGCGCGCUAAAGAGGAUUUGUCGUCGCAAGAGCAGCUAAGGAGUGACACUGAUGCAGCUGAUACGGUCGAUGUGGCGGGAUCAAAGAGCAAUACUGCUUGUUUAAAACCGUCUAACGACAGUGACAACUUCUUAACGUUGGAACCCUCGUUAGAUAGUCCGCAAAUAAUUCCAAAUCAAAUAACGAAAGCCAAGAAAAAAGAUGCGCUAGUGAAUGUAUCGGAGUCUCGUGACAAUGAACAAAUUACACCUCCUAAUCAACAUAACAUAUUGCUUUCUGUACCAAAGCUAACUAGCACUCCUAUAAGACCAAAUAGUGAACAUGAAAUAGAAAAAAGCACAGAUAUUUCUGAUCCCGCCACGUCUUCAUCGCCAAAAUCGUUAGCGACAAAUCUGUUUUCAUGUAAAGACGAUGAACAACGAAAUGAUAAGGAAACGUCAUCGCAGCCGUCAACUACAGUAGCGAACGCAACGACGACGACGACGACGACGACGACGACGAUGACGACGAUGACGACAACGGGAAUGACGCAGACGAGGACGAUUACACCUUAUAUAUCGAUACUAACGCAUUUAAAGACACCAAGGAAUACGAAUCCCCAUGGAAUUCUUUGUCCCUACGAAAUAAUGGGCAUUUGCAGAGAUGAAGAUUGCCAAUUCAUUCAUCAGUCAAAGAACGAAACUUGAAACAGCAAUACAUUACCACUGAACGUACUCAACAUAACAUACAUAGAGAGGAGAAAUUAUCAAGUUUUAACGUAAAAUAUUAAAAUACGUAAGAUUUUGUUUUCAACGUGAUUUUGUUACUUAGUUGUUAGGAAAUUACCAGGGAAUACAUACAAAUACAUAUAUAUAUAGAUAUAUAUAUAUCUCUCUGGAAUCACGUUUUUAUAUGAGCAGAGGCAACACCUGAAGAUGGUAAGUCUUCAUCCAUGGCAGGCUUGUGCACAAUUCUGAAAUUAUCAUUUUAUUUUGUAAAAAGUCGUAUGCAUAUUACGUGGAAGAUCCUUUUUUCAAAACUCGUGUUACUGCGAACGUCGACGCUACUACGUGCGCGUGAGAAAGGAGGAGCUUUAAGCGGUAUUCUAUCAAGAGUUCAAAGAAAAUUUCUACGAGUGUAUAUUUUUUAUAAUUGUAAGAAAAAAAAGUGUCAUAAACUGCAAGCAAUUAGUGUGGUAAGGAUAGAAGAAAAGUUUGUUGACCACACUAAGAAGAACUAAGACUUGAAAGAAGAUAGUUCAGCAAUUCAUGGAUCGCCAUUGGACAUUUCCAUCAGUUGCUUUUUCUUCGUACUUCGAUAUAAGUUACCUCAUAUUAAUAUAUAUCUUGUACCUGUAAAAUAAAAAUUGAAUAUUUUUUUCA